GGGGAUUUUCCACUCAGAUAUUCCCUAUCUUCUGUAAAGCCCAUGUGCUUCCUGGGGAGAUGGAUCUUAUCCCCCAGAGGCCUGUGCCCGAAACAUCAUGGUGGAUGAGAAGAGAGUAGAAAAGCUGUCCACCUUACAGCAGCUAGGACAAGAGCCGAGAACAAGGGAAAGAUAUACAGUGGUCCACAGUGCCACACUCCAUGUCCCACUCUUUUCAACUAAGCUCUGGCUUGCAAAUUUCCAUUACUUCCCAAUAAUCCCAUCAAAUUAUAAUCCAUCCAUGGAGGGAGGAAGCUGCAGACUUUAUCAUCCAGUUAUCACCAGAUGGGGCCCAAGGUUGUCCUUCCAAAGAGAAGACGAUGGAGACCUUAACUCA